rnacentral:rRNA from 1 species
CACCGCGGUUAUACGAGUAACUCAUAUUAACAUUUCCCGGCGUAAAGUGUGAUUUAAGGAUUAAUCUCCAAUUAAAUACAGUUAUGAACUCAUCAAGCUGUUAUACGCACCCAUGAACAGAAUAAUCAACGACGAAAGUGACUCUAAAUUACCAGAAAUCUUGAUGUCACGACAGUUGGGCCC